rnacentral:rRNA from 1 species
CCUACGGGAGGCAGCAGUGGGGAAUUUUGGACAAUGGGCGCAAGCCUGAUCCAGCUAUUCCGCGUGUGGGAAGACGGCCUUCGGGUUGUAAACCACUUUUGUAGAGAACGAAAAGUCUAUUGAUAAUACCGAUAGAUGAUGACGGUACUCUAAGAAUAAGCACCGGCUAACUACGUGCCAGCAGCCGCGGUAAUACGUAGGGUGCGAGCGUUAAUCGGAAUUACUGGGCGUAAAGGGUGUGCAGGCGGUUUUGUAAGAUGGAUGUGAAAGCCCCGGGCUUAACCUGGGAAAGCCAUACAUGACUGCAAGACUAGAGUGCGUCAGAGGGGGGUGGAAUUCCAAGUGUAGCAGUGAAAUGCGUAGAUAUUUGGAAGAACACCGAUGGCGAAGGCAGCCCCCUGGGACGCAACUGACGCUCAUACACGAAAGCGUGGGGAGCAAACAGGAUUAGAUACCCCUGUAGUC